AUUGAACGCUGGCGGCAUGCCUUACACAUGCAAGUCGAACGGUAACGGGCCUUAGGGUGCCGACGAGUGGCGAACGGGUGAGUAAUACAUCGGAACGUGCCCGAUCGUGGGGGAUAACGAGGCGAAAGCUUUGCUAAUACCGCAUACGAUCUACGGAUGAAAGCAGGGGACCGCAAGGCCUUGCGCGGACGGAGCGGCCGAUGGCAGAUUAGGUAGUUGGUGGGAUAAAAGCUUACCAAGCCGACGAUCUGUAGCUGGUCUGAGAGGAUGAUCAGCCACACGGGGACUGAGACACGGCCCAGACCCCUACGGGAUGCAGCGGUGGGGAAUUUUGGAUAAUGGGCGCAAGCUUCACCCCGCCAUGCGGGCGGCAGGAUGAGGGUCUUCGGGUGUGAAACUGCUUUUGUACGGAACGAAAACCCUUCCUUUAAUACCGGAGGGUCAUGCCGGUCCCUUAAGAAUAAGCACCGGCAAACUCCUU
rnacentral:rRNA from 1 species